AUGGUUCAGAGAUGCUUCCAGCUAGCAAACGGUGCUAGACUAAUCAAUUCAUGUGAUGAGGUCCACUUUCCAACUUUGCAUAGCAAGCAUUGGUUCGACUUUUUUGUCUUGUUUAAACAUGAAAUGUUUGUAAUUCUAGACUCAGGAUUUGAUGCAGACAGUGAUUUUCACCAGCAUGUGUUGAAUAUUCUGAUACCAAAUUUCAAAAGAGUUUGGAACAUUUAUGGGAGCUCAAGAAAUCUGAACUGGAGAAAUUGGACCACGCACUUUAUUGAUGUACCUAAACAAAGCAAUGAGCUUGAUUGUGGCAUAUAUACGGCACUCAUUCUGAAGCAUUGGAAGCCUAGGGUACUGAUGCAUGAUAUUGCGAAGGAUGAAGAUAUUGCGAACAUCCGAAUCAGGAUGGCGAAUGAAAUGAUGUUCACUGACCAUAAUAUCCUGAAUGACCAUAAGAAGUUGGUUCUUGAGUUCUAG
rnacentral:rRNA from 1 species